UGGGGAAUAUUGGACAAUGGGCGCAAGCCUGAUCCAGCCAUACCGCGUGGGUGAAGAAGGCCUUCGGGUUGUAAAGCCCUUUUGUUGGGAAAGAAAUCCAGCCGGCUAAUACCUGGUUGGGAUGACGGUACCCAAAGAAUAAGCACCGGCUAACUUCGUGCCAGCAGCCGCGGUAAUACGAAGGGUGCAAGCGUUACUCGGAAUUACUGGGCGUAAAGCGUGCGUAGGUGGUCGUUUAAGUCCGUUGUGAAAGCCCUGGGCUCAACCUGGGAACUGCAGUGGAUACUGGGCGACUAGAGUGUGGUAGAGGGUAGCGGAAUUCCUGGUGUAGCAGUGAAAUGCGUAGAGAUCAGGAGGAACAUCCAUGGCGAAGGCAGCUACCUGGACCAACACUGACACUGAGGCACGAAAGCGUGGGGAGCAAACA
rnacentral:rRNA from 1 species